ensembl:lncRNA
UGGACUGUCAUUUCUCUUUACUUAUUUGAGCUGUUCUUGCCAUAAUAUGGACUUGGUCUGUUACUAAAUAGGGCUAUCUUCUGUAUACCACAGAAGGGGGUGGCAGCGUAGCCUAGUGGUUAGAGUGUAGGGGAGGCAGGUAGUCUAGUGGUUAGAGUGUAGGGGUGGCAGGUAGCCUAGUGGUUAGAGUGUAGGGGUGGCAGGUAGCCUAGUGGUUAGAGUGUAGGGGUGGCAGGUAGUCUAGUGGUUAGAGUGUAGGGGUGGCAGGUAGCCUAGUGGUUAGAGUGUAGGGGUGGCAGGUAGCCUAGUGGUUAGAGUGUAGGGGAGGCAGGUAGUCUAGUGGUUAGAGUGUAGGGGUGGCAGGUAGCCUAGUGGUUAGAGUGGUGGGGCGGCAGGUAGCCUAGUGGUUAGAGCGUAGGGGCGGCAGGUAGCCUAGUGGUUAGAGCGUAGGGGGGCAGGUAGCCUAGUGGUUAGACUGGUGAGUCUCUGAUCCACCUCUACGCAGACGACACCAUUCUGUAUACUUAUGGCCCUUCUUUGGACACUGUGUUAACAACCCUCCAGGCAAGUUUCAAUGCCAU